GAUAGUGAACUAGUACCGUGAGGGAAAGGUGAAAAGUACCCUGAAUAAGGGGGUGAAAUAGUACCUGAAACCGUGCGCUUACAAGCGGUCGGAGCCCUUUAGUGGGGUGACGGCGUGCCUUUUGCAUAAUGAGCCUACGAGUUACCGUUGCUAGCGAGGUUAAACACUUCAGGUGUGGAGCCGUAGCGAAAGCGAGUCUGAAUAGGGCGCCCUAGUUCGUUGGAUUAGACCCGAAACCGAGUGAUCUAGCCAUGAGCAGGUUGAAGGUUGGGUAACACCAACUGGAGGACCGAACCCGCAUCUGUUGCAAUAGAUUGGGAUGACUUGUGGCUAGGGGUGAAAGGCCAAUCAAACUUGGAAAUAGCUGGUUCUCCGCGAAAUCUAUUUAGGUAGCGCGUCUAGUCUCACCUUCGGGGGUAGAGCACUGGAUGGGGAAGGGGGGAGCGAUCCUUACCGACUCUAACCAAACUCCGAAUACCGAAGAGUGCAAUCUAGGCAGACAGACGGCGGGUGCUAAGGUCCGUCGUCAAAAGGGAAACAGCCCUAACCUACAGCUAAGGUCCCCAAGUCAUAUCUAAGUGGGAAAGCAUGUGGGAAUCCCAAAACAACCAGGAGGUUGGCUUAGAAGCAGCCAUCCUUGAAAGAGUGCGUAAUAGCUCACUGGUCAAGUGAUUCCGCGCCGAUAAUGUAGCGGGGCUUAAGUUAUCCGCCGAAGCUGUGGCAACCUGUGUGGUUGGGUAGGGGAGCGUCGUGUCAGUGGUGAAGCUGCCGGGUGACUGUGUGGUGGAGUUGAUGCGAGUGAGAAU
rnacentral:rRNA from 1 species